rnacentral:piRNA from 1 species
UAACAUGGUUAUUUCUAAAGA